CCUGUACCCAGAGCUCCACAGGUGAAGCAGCAGUUAAAGUAAAAAAAUCUAAUUUGUCUUCUGGAGGUUUCCGUCUCUAAUGGACUCCGGGGUCAUCCUUCCGAGCUGUCAGCAUACAUUUGAGCACCAGAUGGACUGGACUUUGGGAGAGAAAAUGGUCAGUGGCGCCAAACCAACCAGGCACUGAGAAAACUUCUCCAGUGCUGUUUCCGAACAAGCACAAAGUCACACACAGAGAGAGAGAGGCAGAGACAUAGGCAGAGGGAGAAGCAGG